AUGACAUCAUUAUGUGUGGCAAAAAGAAAUCCUCACAUGAUACAAACCGUAGAGAGAGACAGUAGACCAAAAGCCAUUUCUCAUCUUUUACCCACUGCGCUUUUCUCCAAAAAAAAAAACCAUAUAUGGAUCUCACUUGUUCCCAUCUCCUUCUCUCUUAAUUUCUUAUUUUUUCAAAUUCCGCAUCAAUUUCUCAAUUCUUCUUCAAGAGCAUCACAACAUAGCAACAAAGGAAUAGUAAAAUGA